rnacentral:tRNA from 1 species
UGGCUCAGUGGUAGAGCGCUUGCCUGGCAUGUAAGAGGCACUGGGUUCCAUUCUCAG